rnacentral:rRNA from 1 species
UACGGAGGGUGCAAGCGUUACUCGGAAUCACUGGGCGUAAAGAGCGUGUAGGCGGAUUUGUAAGUUGGAAGUGAAAUCCUAUGGCUCAACCAUAGAACUGCUUCCAAAACUGCAUGUCUAGAGUGUGGGAGAGGUAGAUGGAAUUUCUGGUGUAGGGGUAAAAUCCGUAGAGAUCAGAAGGAAUACCGAUUGCGAAGGCGAUCUACUGGAACAUAACUGACGCUGAGACGCGAAAGCGUGGGGAGCAAACAGGAUUAGAUACCCUGGUAGUCCACGCCCUAAACGAUGUACACUAGUUGUUGUGAGGUUCGACCUUGCAGUAAUGCAGUUAACACAGUAAGUGUACCGCCUGGGGAGUACGGUCGCAAGAUUAAA